UCGAUUUGGAGUUUGUUGCCUAGAGUGAUGGGCUCCGAAGCUAACGCGAUAAAUCGACCGCCUGGGGAGUACGGCCGCAAGGUUAAAACUCAAAUGAAUUGACGGGGGCCCGCACAAGCGGUGGAGCAUGUGGCUUAAUUCGAUGCAACGCGAAGAACCUUACCUGGUCUUGACAUCCACAGAAUCUUGCAGAGAUGCGAGAGUGCCUUCGGGAACUGUGAGACAGGUGCUGCAUGGCUGUCGUCAGCUCGUGUUGUGAAAUGUUGGGUUAAGUCCCGCAACGAGCGCAACCCUUAUCCUUUGUUGCCAUUGGUUCGGCCGGGAACUCAAAGGAGACUGCCGUUGAUAAAGCGGAGGAAGGUGGGGACGACGUCAAGUCAUCAUGGCCCUUACGACCAGGGCUACACACGUGCUACAAUGGCGUAUACAAAGGGAGGCGACCUCGCGAGAGCAAGCGGACCUCAUAAAGUACGUCUAAGUCCGGAUUGGAGUCUGCAACUCGACUCCAUGAAGUCGGAAUCGCUAGUAAUCGUGAAUCAGAAUGUCACGGUGAAUACGUUCCCCGGGCCU
rnacentral:rRNA from 1 species